rnacentral:rRNA from 1 species
UGGGCAACCUGCCCCUGGCUCUGGGAUAACUCCGGGAAACCGGAGCUAAUACCGGAUACGAGACCGAUUGGCAUCUUUACGGUCUGGAAAGUUUUUCGGCCAGGGAUGGGCUCGCGGCCUAUCAGCUUGUUGGUGAGGUAAUGGCUCACCAAGGCGACGACGGGUAGCCGGCCUGAGAGGGCGACCGGCCACACUGGGACUGAGACACGGCCCAGACUCCUACGGGAGGCA